rnacentral:rRNA from 1 species
UACAGAGGGGGCAAGCGUUGUUCGGAAUUACUGGGCGUAAAGGGCGCGUAGGCGGCCGCCUAAGUCAGACGUGAAAUCCCUCGGCUCAACCGGGGAACUGCGUCUGAUACUGGGUGGCUUGAAUCCGGGAGAGGGAUGCGGAAUUCCCGGUGUAGUGGUGAAAUGCGUAGAUAUCGGGAGGAACACCAGUGGCGAAGGCGACUUCCUGGCCUGUUCUUGACGCUGAGGCGCGAAAGCUAGGGGAGCAAACGGG